rnacentral:rRNA from 1 species
AUGGAAGAAAUCAUCAAACAACUGAUAAAAAAGGGAGAAAUUCAACAGAGUUUCAGUCCUUUCUCUUCAGUAGCUAUCGUGGUCAGGAAAAAAGAUGGUGGAUGGAGAUUGUGUGUGGACUACAUGGAACUAAAUGCAAUCAUAGUGAAAAAUAAAUUUCCAAUGCCAAUCAUUGAAGACUUAUUAAGUGAACUGCAUGGAGCAAAGGUAUUUUCCAAACUAGACCUUAGCUCUGGGUACCAUCAAAUCAGGAUGGCCACUGAAGAUAUACCUAAAACAGCCUUCAGAACACACAUGGGCCAUUAUGAGUACACAGUGGUUCCUUUUGGUCUAUCUUGUGGUCCAGGAACUUUACAGUGCUUGAUGAAUCAAGUAUGUGAAGAAACUCAGGAACCCACAAAAAAGAACUUAAUGGUUUUCUUUGAUGAUAUAUUGGUAUUUAGUAAAGCCAUGGAAGAUCACAUAAGACAUCUUCAGAGAACAUUGGAAAUGCUUAGGAAACAUGAAUUAUAUGUGAAGAUAUCCAAAUGUACUUUUGCUACAAGUCAGGUCACUUAUUUAGGUCACAUCAUUUCUGAACAAGGAGUGGCAACUGAUCCUGAGAAGAUCCAAGCAAUAUUGGACUGGAAAGAACAUGAGAAUGUGACCAAACUAAGAGGCUUCUUAGGAUUAACUGGAUACUAUAGAAGAUUUGUGAAAGAUUAUGAAAGAAUAUGUAGACCACUACAUGAUAUGCUCAAAAAAGAUGCAUUUCAGUGA